UUGACUGAUUUUAACUGUUCUGGUCUCCCUGACCCUGCCUUUGGCUACGCUUCUGAAAGCGUCUGGCAUGACUGCUCUUGUUUGCACUUCUCCCCCAUCUUUGUAUGCCAAAUAGCUUUUGCCAUCUUCCUGACCUUGCUGGGUAAACAUUGCAAUAACACAGCUUUUGCAUAGCAUUCAUUUGUUUUUGAAAAACAACAACCGCAAAAGAAAUGCAAGUAGCUCUGGGAGUCUUUGACAGUGGCAUAAACUUUUGGAAGGACGUAAUUUCACCUCGACUUUCCCACCAGGAUUCAGCAGUUAAGUGCUGGAUUGAAGUACGGCACAGCAGCAGCUACCAGCUCAUCCCAGUUGCUGUGGAGAAGUGUCUGCAGGUACACAUCUACUGCAGUAUAUCGCUGCUGCACUUACGUUGAAUGCUUAUAGAUUUUUGUUUCUCCCAGUGCUGUGUGGUUGAAACGUAUGUAUCUAUGUCAGGCUGCCAUUAAGAGAACUGAAACCAUACGUGCAUAAUGAGUUGCAAGUGAAUUUCCAGUCUUGUGUCAUGGCUCCUGUGAGUAAUACUUAUGUCACAGGCCUCUUCAGCAUCACUGAGACUCUUCUCCUGAGAGGGGACUGUUCAGCCCAACAAAUGUUCAAGUGUCAGGACUUGAGUUUAUAUUUUCUAUUAAUGCUUUUCUGCCGCAAACUGCCCUGCAUGGCUAAACUUACUGGAAAUAUUGUCAUGGCUAUGUGCAAUGCUGUGUCUGUAAAGAGAAGAGAGAACAGUUAGUCUGUGUUCACAGAUUUGUCCAGAGAUUCUGAAAGAGAAAACUCAAACGCCUGCCCAUUCAGAAAUACCGCUGCAGAGACCUGGCAAGAGGCAUUUCAGUGCAUGAACUUCCAUCUCAGACAAAGUCUCUCCAGAUGCACUACACCAGGGCAGAUGUUGCAGAACAUAUAAGAUAGCCAAGGAUCCCAAAACAGAGAGGAGAAUGAAGGCAGGAAGCAUUCAUUCUACAUCUCUCCUGAAACAGAAGGAUAACACACUAUUAAGCUGUCAGCUCAUCCUCCAUCUCCAUAAGGCAGCGUUGCAGUAUUUCUGAGCUAACAUCUUCAUUUUUCAGCAAGUGAUUGGGUCACAAUUACUCAUACUUCUGGACGAAAUGAGAACUGAACAACAACAAAAAUUCCCAUGAAGACUGACUUUAUAUAAUACUUGCCAUCCAUUCCGUCAUGCAAAAAUAUCCUACCAGCUCUAAUGCAAGGCAUUAUUAAAACCCAUUAAGAACA